rnacentral:rRNA from 1 species
UACGGAGGGUGCAAGCGUUAUCCGGAUUCACUGGGUUUAAAGGGUGCGUAGGUGGGCAGGAAAGUCAGUGGUGAAAUCUUUGGGCUUAACCCGAAAACUGCCAUUGAUACUAUUUGUCUUGAAUAUUGUGGAGGUCAGCGGAAUAUGUCAUGUAGCGGUGAAAUGCUUAGAUAUGACAUAGAACACCAAUUGCGAAGGCAGCUGGCUACACAUAUAUUGACACUGAUGCACGAAAGCGUGGGGAUCAAACAGG